UACGAAGGGGGGCUAGCGUUGUUCGGAAUCACUGGGCGUAAAGCGCACGUAGGCGGAUUUUUAGUCAGGGGUGAAAUCCCGAGGCUCAACCUCGGAACUGCCUUUGAUACUGGAGAUCUUGAGUCCGGAAGAGGUAAGUGGAACUGCGAGUGUAGAGGUGAAAUUCGUAGAUAUUCGCAAGAACACCAGUGGCGAAGGCGGCUUACUGGUCCGGAACUGACGCUGAGGUGCGAAAAGCGUGGGGGAGCAAACAGGG
rnacentral:rRNA from 1 species